GACGAACGCUGGCGGCGUGCUUAACACAUGCAAGUCGAACGGAAAGGCCUGCUUUCCCUUGUGGAUUGCGGGUACUCGAGUGGCGAACGGGUGAGUACACGGGGGUGAAUUGCCCCCAACUUGGGUAUAAGCCUGGGGAACUGGGGCUAAUUCCCGAUAGGACUGCAGGGUGGGGGCGGUGGUGGGAAACGAUUUUCUAGGGGGUGGGGAUGAGCUCGCGGCCUAUCAGGUUGUUGGUGGGGUAAUGGCCUACCAAGGCGGCGACGGGUAGCCGGCCUGAGAGGGUGGACGGCCACAUUGGGACUGAGAUACGGCCCAGACUCCUACGGGAGGCAGCAGUGGGGAAUAUUACACAAUGGGCGGAAGCCUGAUGCAGCGACGCCGCGUGGGGGAUGACGGCCUUCGGGUUGUAAACUCCUUUCGACCGCGAGGAAGCCACCUGGUUGGAAGGGUGGUGACGGUAGUGGUAGAAGAAGCACCGGCUAACUACGUG
rnacentral:rRNA from 1 species